UAAAUUUUAGGGAUGUAUUUGUGGGAAACCCUUUCGAAAUGGUAAAUUUUAAAAAAUACACAUGUGCAUGCAUAAGUAUACACUCGGGUAAAAAUUUUUAAAGUACCCGUUUAGGUAAGAUAAAUUUUAGGGGUGUAUUUGUGGGAAACCCUUUCGAAAUGGUAAAUUUUAAAAAAUACACAUGUGCAUGCAUAAGUAUACACUCGGGUAAAAAUUUUUAAAGUACCCGUUUAGGUAAGAUAAAUUUUAGGGGUGUAUUUGUGGGAAACCCUUUCGAAAUGGUAAAUUUUAAAAAAUACACAUGUGUAUACAUAGGUAUACACUCGGGUAAAAAUUUUUAAAGUACCCGUUUUAGGUAAGAUAAAUUUUAGGGGUGUAUUUGUGGGAAACCCUUUCGAAAUGGUGGGUUAAAAAUAUGCGUGCGUACGCCGGGAAUGGGUUGUAUAGAACUAGUUAGUAAUAGAAACAAUUAAUCUAUAAAAGCUACGAUAGGCCUUCAUAGAAAAACCGUAAAGUACUCUUGGUCCGGGGGGUUACAAGAGAAAACUAGCGGUAAAAUCUAUGGGGGGGGGGGGGGGGGGGUUGCCUAAAAUGGGGUUAUAUUGAACUAGUUAGUAAUAGAAACAAUUAAUCUAUAAAAGCUACGAUAGGCCUUCAUAGAAAAACCGUAAAGUACUCUUGGUCCGGGGGGGUUACAAGAGAAAACUAGCGGUAAAAUCUAUGGGGGGGGGGGGGGGGGGGUUGCCUAAAAUUUUAUAGGAAAGUAGGCGGCGUUAAAGAGAAAUCCUAUCCGCUGGGAGAUGCCAAAUAUUGUGUUAAAAAAAUUCAAACAUUGGACUCCCGGGGGGGAAAAUAAAAUAGUAGUGAAUUUUUAGAUAGGCGUAAAUAUUGCUAUGUCUAACAAGCAUUCAUUUAUAGGUUAUCAUAUUCUUAUGCCUAAUGAACCACGCUUGCAUGAAGUAGGACCACCUUAGUUAAUGUGCCAUUACCCCACUGAGAGAUGCCAGGUGAAAGGUUUUUAAAAAAAAAACCACUGAUGCUAUGUAGUGCAGGGAGGCCUUGUUAAGGAGCAAAAGGGACCAGACCGCAUAGGGGAGAUGCUCUUUAGAAACCAGUUAAACCCGAUUAACCUAUAUAAGUCCAUAGAUUCAGUUCCGUCAGAUGCUUUUUAAAAGGUGAGGAAGGCCACUCUUGUUGAAGGUCCAUUGGAGAAUACCAACUCCCAAGCCCUUGACGUCAUGUAGGCCACAUUAAGGUACGAAUGGGGAAUAUCAAAGUGUUGAUGGUAAAGUUCCAGGAUAUUUCUGGGCAUUAUUCAUGUGGUUAAUCUUUUUAUGGGUAUUAUUAUUGUUAUGAUAUAUGUAGAAGGCCAUGGUAGUUGAUUAUGAAAGGUUAAUUAUAAGGAUAUGCUUGGUUGCUGGGAUAGAAAAGGCACAGUUCAACAAUGGGAUACAUGAAAUAAUUGGACUAAAGUUGACUUGCCUUUAUGUUUAUGUAUAGUUUGUUAAUUAAGGAUAUUAUUUUGAUAAUAAUAUUCAAGUUCAUGCUUGACGGGUAGUACAAUAUGUAAAUAGUGUGUCUAUAUACAUUAAUUAACUUAUUAAGAAUAAGUGGGUAAUUAUUUGUGUGGAUAUUUAUGCAUAGUGUUAAUGAUGAAGGCUCUUACUUCAUUUUAGUCUAAGACACAUGAAUUAUCAAUCCGCCUUCGUGAAACGUAUUUCUAGAUGCAUUAAUUUAGUAUUGAGUUUCAUAUUAUGUGAAUCUUAACAUGUUUAAUAAGGAUAGCGUUUGGUAAAGGUAUGCAUGGGGUAAAUAAAUGAAUGCUCUAUUAUGCAUAGUAUGUAUAUAAUCAUACAUGAAUUAGGGCAAAGAUAUGCAUGGGGUAAAUAGAUGAAUGCUCUAUUAUACAUAGUAUGUAUAUAAUCAUACAUGAAUUAGGGCAAAGAUAUGCAUGGGGUAAAUAGAUGAAUGCUCUAUUAUGCAUAGUAUGUAUAUAAUCAUACAUGAAUUAGGGCAAAGAUAUGCAUGGGGUAAAUAGAUGAAUGCUCUAUUAUGCAUAGUAUGUAUAUAAUCAUACAUGAAUUAGGGCAAAGAUAUGCAUGGGGUAAAUAGAUGAAUGCUCUAUUAUGCAUAGUAUGUAUAUAAUCAUACAUGAAUUAGGGCAAAGAUAUGCAUGGGGUAAAUAGAUGAAUGCUCUAUUAUGCAUAGUAUGUAUAUAAUCAUACAUGAAUUAGGGCAAAGAUAUGCAUGGGGUAAAUAGAUGAAUGCUCUAUUAUGCAUAGUAUGUAUAUAAUCAUACAUGAAUUAGGGCAAAACUUUCAUUUAAUUCUCUAAAAAGUGUUUUGUUCGAUAAUAAGGACAAAAAUUUAUAAGUUUUACUGUUGAUUUUGCAUGAAUUAGGGCAAAGAUAUGCAUGGGGUAAAUAGAUGAAUGCUCUAUUAUGCAUAGUAUGUAUAUAAUCAUACAUGAAUUAGGGCAAAACUUUCAUUUAAUUCUCUAAAAAGUGUUUUGUUCGAUAAUAAGGACAAAAAUUUAUAAGUUUUACUGUUGAUUUUGCAUGAAUUAGGGCAAAGAUAUGCAUGGGGUAAAUAGAUGAAUGCUCUAUUAUGCAUAGUAUGUAUAUAAUCAUACAUGAAUUAGGGCAAAACUUUCAUUGUUCUAAUCCAUGGACGUUUUAAAGUGGGGUUCGUGGGGGGGUACAAGGUGUCCGCCAACUGCCCUAAAAGUUUAAUCGGGCUAACUUGUUUUCUAGAGUGCCUGUGGCGGGGAUGAGAAGGAUAAAGAUGCAAAAAUAGAUGACUGAGGCUAGUUGGCCAAUCAUGAUGAAGGGGUCUUCUACUGGUUGGCCGCCAAUCCAUGUCAGGAUCAUCGUGUUUGCCACUAGGGUUCAGAAUAGUAGUUUAGUUAGGGGUCGGAAAGUAGAAGUUCGUUGAUUGGAUGUGUGAAGGAUGGGUAAUAAGAACAGGAUUAUGAUAGAGAAUAGGAGGGCUAGGACUCCGCCGAGUUUAUUGGGGAUAGAUCGAAGGAUAGCAUAUGCAAACAAGAAGUAUCAUUCGGGUUUAAUGUGAGGGGGAGUUACUAGGGGGUUAGCGGGAGUGAAAUUAUCUGGGUCACCGAGGAUAUUUGGGGCAAAUGUGGAUAGCGCGGCUAGCAGGGCUAGAAGUACGGCAAAUCCAAAUGCGUCCUUGUAGGAGUAGUAGGCGUGGAAUGGGAUUUUGUCUGAGUUGGAGUUUAGUCCAGUUGGGUUAGACGAGCCUGUUUGGUGUAGGAACAGGAGGUGGAUUAUUGAGGCUCCUGCAAUAAUAAAGGGUAGAAUGAAGUGGAAUGUAAAGAAUCGGGUUAAAGUGGCGUUAUCCACCGAGAAUCCGCCCCAGAUUCAUUGUACUAGCUCGGUUCCGAUGUAGGGGGCGGCUGAAAGAAGGUUAGUGAUUACUGUGGCGCCUCAAAAGGACAUUUGCCCUCAUGGUAAGACGUAUCCGACAAAGGCUGUUGCUAUAACUAAGAACAGUAAAAUUACCCCAACAUUUCAUGUUUCUUUAAAUAGGAAAGAUCCGUAGUACAUGCCCCGUCCAAUGUGAAGGUAAAUACAAAUGAAGAAGAAUGAGGCUCCGUUUGCAUGUAGAUUUCGUAAAAGUCAGCCGUUGUUUACAUCUCGACAGAUGUGGGCUACAGAUGAGAAGGCUAUUGAGGUGUCUGCUGUAUAAUGUAUUGCUAGGAAUAGUCCAGUAGCGAUUUGUAGAAUAAGGCAGAUUCCGAGGAGGGAGCCAAAAUUUCAUCAUGAGGACAGGUUGGAUGGUGCGGGGAGGUCAAUGAAGGAGGAAUUAACAAUUUUUAGUAUGGGGUGGGUUUUGCGUAAAAUAGGGGCCAUUAGUUCUUAUAGUUGAACACAACAAUAGCUUUUCAGGCUAUAAGUCUAGGUUAAAAUCCUUGUAGGAAUUAUGAUAUUUUUGUUUGAGGUUGGGUUGGUGGGGGGAUUUCUUGCUGUAGCUUCAAAUCCUUCUCCGUAUUAUGCGGCUUUGGGGUUAGUGGUUUCUUCCGGGGUGGGGUGCUUGAUUUUAAUAUUCGGGGGGGCUUCGUUUUUAUCUUUGGUAUUAUUUUUAGUUUACUUGGGGGGAAUAAUAGUGGUAUUUGCUUAUUCGGCAGCUUUAGUUGCUGAGCCCUAUCCGGAGGCUUGAGGUAGUGUGGGUGUAGUGGUUUAUUUAAUCGGCUAUUUAUUGUUGUUGGGGUUAUGAUGGUUAAUUGGUGGAAAAUCAGAGGAGAUAACUGCGGGGGGUUGAGGAGCAAGUGCUUAUAUGGGUGAUUGAUUCGGAGUUUCUAUGCUGUUCUCCUGGGGAGGGGGAUUACUAUUGAUUGGGGGUUGGGCACUAUUGUUGACAUUGUUUGCUGUUUUAGAGGUAGUUCGGGGCCAUUACGGAGGGGUCUUACGAGCUGUAAGAUGACUAAACAAAUUAAAGUGGAGAAGAUAAAGAUAGUCAGGUAGACUUUGAUUAGCCCCUGCUGGAUUUCUUGAUUAAAUGUAAUUGGGGGCAGUUGUAAUUCGGCUAGGCCUUUUGGCCCAAUUUUUUCGAGUCAGAGGGUAUCAAUAAGGUGAGAUGAUGUUCGUAAGCUAAAGUUUAACAUAGAUGAUGGAAUUAGUCGGUGUAUUGCUGUAGGAUAGAAUGAAGUAUUAAUGAUUUUAGAUGUGUAGAAUGUCCCAGGGGUUUUAGUUCAUGAGAUGGAGGCUAAAUCUAUUGCAAUGAUGAAACCCAGAACGGACACUGCUAGGGCUGCAAUUUUUAAAUGGGGGGGUAUGGUUAUGACUAUCGGGGAAGUAGGGAUAAUAAUUUGAUUAGUAAUUAGGCCGGCAAUGAUACUACCAAAUGCUAAGCGUUUAAUGGGGUUAAUAAUGGUGGGGUUAUUUUCAUUAAUUAACACGAUGGGGUUAAAUCGGGGGUGUUUUAUGGAUGCAAAGUAGAUGAUUCGAAGGCUAUAGACGGCUGUAAAUGAUGUGGCAAUUAUAGUUAGUGCUAAUGCCCAUGCAUUAACAUCAGAGGUGUUAAUGGCUUCAAUAAUAGCGUCUUUUGAGAAGAACCCGGCCAAGUACGGCGUCCCCAUAAGUGCUAAGCUUCCCACAGACACGCAUGAUGUUGUAAAGGGAAGAGUCUUUUGUAAGCCCCCUAUCUUUCGGAUAUCCUGUUCAUCGGCUAGGUUAUGAAUAAUUGAGCCUGAGCAAAGAAAGAGUAUGGCUUUAAAAAAGGCGUGAGUGCAGAUGUGAAAGAAGGCUAGGUGUGGUAUAUUUAACCCAAUUGCUACUACUAUUAGGCCUAGCUGGCUAGAUGUAGAGUAAGCAAUGAUUUUUUUAAUAUCAUUUUGUGUUAGGGCGCAUGUUGCUGCAAAUGCUGUGGAAAUGGCACCCAGGCAUAGACAAAAGGUAAGAGCUGUUUGAUUAUUUUCAAUUAUGGGGUGGAUUCGAAUAAGAAGAAAUACACCUGCUACCACUAUCGUGCUCGAGUGUAGAAGGGCUGAGACAGGGGUCGGCCCCUCUAUAGCUGAGGCUAGCCAGGGGUGAAGACCAAAUUGGGCAGAUUUACUUGCUGCGGCAAUAAUGAAUGCUAGAAGAAGGGGAGUGGAGUGAUUUAUAGAAAAAAUAAAAUUUAAAUCGACUGAAUCAUACAAUGAAAUUAGUCAAAAUAGGGCAAAAAGGAAGCCGAUAUCACCAAUUCGGUUAUACAGUACUGCUUGUAGGGCAGCUGCCCCGGCGUUACUUCGAGUAAAAUAUCAGCCAAUGAGUAGGUAAGACAUGAUCCCUACCCCUUCCCAGCCAAUAAAUAACAUUAAAAAAUUUCCGGCGGAGACCAACAGUAUUAUGGCUAAUAGAAAAAUUAGUAAAUAUUUAAAAAAGAGUUGGAUUUUAAUAUCGCUGUGCAUGUACCACAGGGAGUACUCUACGAUGCUCCAUGUGACUAUUAGGGCAAUUGGGAUAAAGAUGAUGGAGUAGUGAUCUAGUUGAAUGGUUAAGUUGAUCGGGGUUGACAGAAUGUUGAAUCAUUUUCAUGAGAUGGAUAUUGUCUGUGCGGUUUCGUUAAUUAUAAGUAGAAGCGGAAUAGUUGAGAUAAAAAAUGCUGUUUUGACGGCAGUUUUGGUCUUGAGGUGGAAGUCACUAGAAUUAGGAUUAAGAAGAGGAAUAAUUAAUACAAGUAUACUUAGGAUGUAGGAUGAAAGAGGUGCUAUAAGCAAGUUCAUGGCUUUUGCUAAGACUUAACUUGGCAUAAGCAUGGUCGAGUCUGCUACGGAGUCGAACCAUAGAAGGAAGUAAUUAGCAGUUCUUGCUUAUCCAAUCAGAUUCGGUGAAUAGAGGGGAAUUAGUCCUCAUUUCUAAAAUCACAAGCUAGGGUUUUUAUUAAACUAUAUUCACUUAAAAUAGAAGGCUUGGCUUAACAGUUAGAAGUAAAGCUGGAAUAAUGUGGAGUGCCAGAAGAGCAUGUUCUCGUGUUUGAAUCGGUGGUAUAAAUUUAAUGUGUAGAGGCAGGUACUCUCGUUGAGUUGAUCAAAAUAUGUACAGGGAAUAAGAAGUGGUAAAUAAAAUGCUAAUACCUAUAAUAAUCAGUGUUAAGUUCGAUCAUUGGAAAAGGGAUGAAAGGAUGGAUAUUUCCCCAAUGAAGUUGGGUGAGGGAGGUAAGGCUAUGUUUAAGAGUGCAGCUAGUAUCAUCAGGCUGCGGAAAGCGGGAGGAUAAUUUGGCUUCCUUGUAGAAUAAUAAGUGUUCGGGUGUGGGUACGUUCAUACGAAGUGUUCGCCAGGCAAAAGAGGGCGGAGGAUACCAAGCCAUGAGAGAUUAUUAGAAUUAGGGAUCCGGCGAUGCUUCAAUCAGUUUUUAAAAGUGAUGCUGCAAUGACUAGGCCUAUAUGACUGACUGAAGAAAAAGCGAUGAGGGACUUCAAGUCUGUUUGUCGAGAGCAAAGUGCUGCUGAUAAGAGGACACCAAAUAUUGAAAAAAUAAUUAAUGGGGCUGCUGUUUGUAAAAAUGAGUCACUGAUGAUAGUGUUAACACGCAAGAUUCCGUAUCCGCCCAGUUUUAGUAGGGUUCCGGCUAAGAUUAUAGAGCCGGCAAUGGGGGCCUCUACAUGGGCUUUUGGUAACCACAGGUGAACACCGUAUAAGGGUAUUUUUACAAGAAAGGCUGUGAAACAGGCUGCCCACCAUGCUAACAUGCAGGCUGAGGGGUUAAGUUCUUUUGCGGAGUCUUUGAUUAGAGAGAUUGAGAGGGUUCCAAAUGUUUCAUGAAAAAAUAAUAGCGCAGCUAAAAGGGCUAUUGACCCAAAUAGUGUAUAGAAUAAUAAAUAUGUUCCUGCUAGUAUUCGUUCUUUUUGGGCCCCUCAGCGUGUAAUAAUAAUUAAUGUUGGGAUUAUAGUUGAUUCAAACAGAAUAAAGAACAAUAUCAUGUUGUCUGCUAAGAAUGCUAAGAGGGUGGUGACUUGAAGUAGAAUGACAGUAAAAAUAUAGGCUCGUUGACGUGAGACGGGCUCCUUUGAUAGUUUACUUUGACUAGCUAAAAGAGUUGGGGCUGUCAGUCAGCAGGUUAGAAUAAGUAGGGGAGAUGAAAUCUGGUCAAUAGUGAAGUAGGAGUUUAAGAAAAGAGAGCCAUUUUGAGUGCAGAAUCAAACUAUUGAUGCAAUAGCAAUAAUUAAUGACUGGGCUGUGAUAACUUCCCACAACCGCUUAGCAGGGGUUAACCAGGUUGAGAGAAGUAGAAUAGAUAGGGGCACAGAGAUUACUAACAUUGUAGAAGAUUCAAGGAGUUCAAAUUAUCUGUUCCGUGGGUGCGUGCAGUGGCGAUUAUUAAUGCUAGCCCGAUUCCUGCUUCGCAUGCAGAGAGGGUUAAUAUAAUUAGGGGAUAUAUUAUGGGUGUAAUUAGGCAGAAUUUUAAGGCUCAUAAACCGAGGGCUACAAAAAUAGAUAGUAUUAUGCUCUCCAGGCAUAAUAAAGCUGAUAGGAGAUGUGCUCGGUGUAAAGAUAACCCUAAAAGACCUAAGAAAAAUGUGGAAGUUAAUAGUCAGGAUUCGUGUGUUAAGGUCAUGAAGAGGGGAUAUGGGAUUGAACCAUAAUUUGCUGAGUCGAAAUCAGCUGUCUUUUUUAAACGACCCCCUCAUUCUGCUCAUUCUAGUCCCCCUUGGGCUCACUCGUAGAUAAACCCCAGGGUUAAAAGAAUAAGAAUAAUUGAUGAUCAAAAAAUUGCUAGGGUGGGGUAAUUGAAUUGGGUUGCUCAUGGUGUUGGGAGUAAGAGGGCGAUUUCUAAGUCGAAGAGAAGAAAUAGGAUAGCGACCAGGAAAAAUCGUAUUGAAUAUGGGAGUCGUGCUGACCCGAGUGGGUCAAAUCCGCACUCAUAAGGGGAGAGUUUUUCUGAGUCGGGGUUUAGUGACGGUAAUCAAAAGCUAAUAAAGGCUAAAAUUAAGGAUAAGGUAGAGGCAAUUAAAACAUAAGAUGUCAUUACUUUCUCUUGGGGUUUAACCAAGACUGGGUGAUUGGAAGUCACUUGUACUAAUUAUACUAAGAAAGUAUGAGCCUCAUCAGUAGAUUGAGACGUAAAGGAAAAGUCAGACGACAUCUACGAAAUGUCAGUAUCAUGCAGCUGCUUCAAAUCCAAAAUGAUGUUGGGUGGUGAAAUGAAAGUUAAUUUGUCGAAAUAGGCAUGUAAUAAGAAAUAGUGAGCCAAUAAUAACAUGAAGUCCGUGAAAUCCAGUUGCCACAAAGAAUGUUGAUCCGUAGAUGCCGUCGGCAAUGGUAAAAGGUGCUUCGUAAUAUUCCAUGGCUUGAAGGAUAGUAAAAUAAAGGCCUAGGGUAAUAGUUAGGGCUAAAGAUUGGAUUGCUUCUUUUCGAUCCCCUUGCAUAAUGCUGUGGUGGGCCCACGUGACUGAGACCCCGGAGGCCAGGAGAACUGCGGUGUUUAGAAGGGGUACUUCGAAUGGGUUAAGAGGUGAGAUUCCAGUUGGUGGUCAGCAUUCCCCAAUCUCAUAGGAGGGUGCUAAGCUGGCAUUAUAGAAUGCUCAAAAAAAUCCAAUGAAAAAGAACACUUCUGAGGUGAUAAAUAGGAUUAUACCAUAACGCAGGCCCUUUUGUACUGGAAUAGUGUGGUGGCCUUGAAAUGUGCCUUCUCGGACGAUAUCUCGUCAUCAUUGAUACAUGGUGAGAAGCAUAAGUAGGAGGCCGAAAGUUAAAAUUAAGGUUGUAUUGUAGUGGAAUCAUAUGGCUAGGCCAGUCGUUAAUAUAAAUGCUGCUGUGGCUCCUGUGAGGGGUCAAGGGCUGGGGUCAACUAUGUGGAAAGCGUGAGCUUGGUGUGCCAUUAGGUGUUUUCUUGAAGGUAGAGGCUUAGGAGAAGAACAAAUACAUAUGCUUGGAUCAUUGCAACUGCAAUUUCUAGUAUGGUUAGGAGGAUUAGUGUUAUGAAAGUUAGAGCUGAAACAAUAGGAGAAGAAAAUAGUAAGGCUAGUGUGGCUGAAGAAAUAAGUUGAAUGAGGAGAUGUCCGGCGGUUAGGUUGGCUGUGAGUCGGACACCUAGGGCUAUGGGUCGGAUAAAUAGGCUAAUGGUUUCGAUAAUAAUAAGAAUGGGAAUAAGAGGUGUUGGGGUUCCUUCGGGGAGGAAGUGUCCAAGGGACGCUGUGAGUUGAUUACGAAAUCCAAUUGCCACAGUCGCUAAUCAUAGGGGGAUGGCUAGACCUAAGUUAAGUGAUAAUUGAGUAGUGGGGGUGAAUGUGUACGGAAGGAGGCCUAAGAGAUUUAUGCCCAAUAAAAAAAUUAUUAGUGAGGUUAAAAUUAAAGCCCAUUUAUGGCCUGGAGUGUUUAAUGGGGAGAAGAUUUGUUUAGAGAAGGUUUUAACGAAUCAUGUUUGUACAGUUACUACACGAUUAGUUAACCAACGAUUACAUGGGGUGGGAAAUAUAAGUCAUGGGGCCAGAAGGGCAACAAAAACUAACGGUAGUCCCAGGAGGUUUGGAGAGGCGAAUUGACUAAAUAAGUUUAGGAUCAGGGUCAGGAUCAAGAUUUAGUUAGGCCUUUAUAAGUUUUAUGGGUGGGGUCAUUUAGGCUAUUAUAUUUAGAAACUUUAAUUGGGGAAUAUGCAAGAAAAAUAAGUCAUGAGACAAAUAGAAUGGGGAAUCAUGGUGUUGGGUCUAAUUGCGGCAUUCACUAAGGGUGGUUGGAAGUCACCUGUCUAUAGCUUAAAAGGCUAUCGCUUGGUCCUAUAGCUUCUUAAUGAGGCGGUUUCUGAGGCAGAAGUUCAGUCUAGAAACUCCUUGAUAGGGAGAGAUUCAACAACAAUAGGUAUGAAGCUGUGGUUGGCACCGCAGAUUUCCGAGCAUUGACCAUAAUAUACACCUGGUCGAGAGACGAGAAAUGAGGCUUCACUUAGUCGUCCUGGGAUUGCGUCAGUUUUUACCCCUAAAGAUGGCACUGCUCACGAGUGGAGUACAUCAUCUGCUGUAAUAAGGGUUCGGGUUGCUAUUCCUACUGGGGUAAUUAUUCGGUUAUCGACUUCUAAAAGACGAAAUUGACCUGAUAGGAGGUCUUGGGUGGGAACCAUGUAAGAGUCAAAGUUCAAAUCAGCGAAGUCUGAGUAUUCGUAGCUUCAAUACCAUUGGUGGCCGAUUGCUUUAAUGGUAAUGUCCGGGUUGCUUAUUUCAUCUAUUAAAUAUAGAAUUCGUAAUGAGGGGAGGGCGAUGACAAUUAGAAUAAUGGCUGGUAUGAUGGUUCAUACUAUUUCAAUCUCCUGUGCGUCGAUAGUGUUGGUGUUUGAUAACUUGGUGCUUAUUAAGGUUGUAAUAAUAUAAAGGACUAGGGCACUAAUUAAAAAAACUGCUAUUAGUGCGUGAUCAUGGAAGUGAAGGAGCUCCUCUAUAAUAGGAGAGGCUGCGUCUUGGAAACCUAACUGAAGUGGGUGGGCCAUUAGAGGUGUACGGGGGUUUAACCCAUUAUUUUAUCUUGACAAGGUAAUGUUAUAAGUUAACUAACUCCUCAAAGAAAGUGACAGAGUGGUUAUGUGCCUGGCUUGAAACCAGUGGAUGGGGGUUCAAUUCCCUCCUUUCUCGAUCUAUUGUUUUGGGAGAAGGUAGAUUCUUCGUAUGUGUGGUAGUGAGGUGGAUAGCCGUGAAGUCACUCUACGUUUGUAGAAGUUAUUUCUGUGGAAGAUAGGAUGCGUUUAGAGGAGAAAGCUUCUCAAAUAAUAAAUAUUAUAAUUACUACAGCAACUAGGGAAAUAAGUGAGCCAAUAGAUGAAACCGUAUUUCAAAGGGUAUAUGCAUCAGGAUAGUCAGAGUAUCGUCGUGGUAUACCUGCUAAGCCUAGGAAGUGUUGAGGGAAAAAUGUUAAAUUUACUCCGGUAAAUAUCACGCCAAAUUGAAUUUUUGCUCAGGUUUUGUGUAGGGUAAAACCUGUAAAUAGGGGGAAUCAGUGUACAAAUCCGGCCAUGAUGGCAAAUACAGCUCCUAUAGACAGAACAUAGUGAAAAUGGGCUACCACAUAGUAAGUAUCGUGAAGGACAAUAUCUAAAGAUGAGUUAGCUAGAACAAUCCCUGUGAGUCCGCCAACUGUGAACAGGAAGAUGAAGCCCAGCGCUCAUAGUAUGGCGGCGUCUCAUUUAAUAAUUCCUCCAUGCAUUGUGGCUAAUCAGCUAAAAACUUUAACACCUGUUGGGAUGGCAAUAAUUAUUGUAGCAGAGGUGAAAUAGGCUCGGGUGUCUACGUUUAGGUCAGUUGUGAACAUGUGAUGGGCCCAAACAAUAAAUCCCAGGAGGCCAAUAGAUAUUAUUGCUCACACUAUACCUAUAUAGCCGAACGGUUCUUUUUUGCUUGAGUAGAAUGUGACUACGUGGGAGAUAAUUCCAAACCCGGGAAGAAUUAAAAUGUAGACUUCUGGGUGACCAAAAAAUCAAAAUAAGUGUUGGUAUAAGACCGGAUCUCCCCCUCCUGCCGGGUCAAAGAAUGUUGUAUUCAAAUUACGAUCAGUGAGAAGCAUGGUGAUGCCUGCCGCUAGGACAGGAAGAGAAAGAAGUAGAAGAACAGCAGUAAUUAGGACAGAUCAAACGAACAGGGGGGUUUGGUACUGUGUUAUAGAUGGGGGCUUCAUGUUGAGAAUCGUGGUAAUGAAGUUAAUGGCCCCCAGAAUUGAAGAGACACCUGCGAGAUGAAGGGAAAAAAUGGUUAAAUCAACUGAGGGUCCGGCGUGCGCCAGGUUUCCGGCGAGGGGUGGGUAUACAGUUCACCCGGUUCCGGCCCCUGCUUCAACACCAGCUGAUGCUAAGAGAAGAAGAAAAGAUGGGGGGAGAAGUCAGAAGCUUAUGUUAUUUAUUCGCGGGAAGGCCAUGUCGGGUGCACCAAUUAUUAAAGGAAUUAGUCAGUUUCCAAACCCCCCGAUUAAGAUGGGCAUUACUAUAAAGAAGAUCAUAACGAAGGCGUGGGCCGUAACAAUGACAUUAUAAAUCUGGUCAUCACCCAGAAGGGAUCCAGGCUGACUGAGUUCUGCUCGAAUUAAGAGACUGAGAGCUGUGCCGACCAUGCCGGCUCAGGCCCCAAAUACUAGGUACAGGGUACCGAUAUCUUUGUGGUUGGUGGAAAAUAAUCAACGGGUAAUUAUCACAGGUAAGAUGGCCGAAUGCUAGGCGGUGGGUUGUAGCCCCAACAAUGUAGGUUUAAUUCCUACUCUUAUCAGGCUCUGGGGUGUCACACGUGGGAUUGCAAAUCCCAAGAAGCAGAAUAGUUCCUGCCGGGGCUUCUCCCGUUUUUAAAAACCGGGAGAAGUAGAAUGAAGCUCGCUGGAUUGAGCGUUUAGCUGUUAACUAAAAUGUUACGGGAUCAAGGCCCGUCUUUCUAGGAGGCUUUAUCUUAAUUAAAGUAUCUGAUUUGCAUUCAGAAGAUAUGGGUUAAUAUCCUAUAAGUCUUACAGAAACUAGAAGAGUUUAACUUCUACUAAGAGCUUUGAAGGCUCUUGGUCUGAAUUAGCCUAAGUUUCUAAAUUUCUGAUGAGACUUAUGAUGGUUGGGGUUACAGGUAGGAGAAGGAGGGUAAAAGAGAUUGGUAAUGCCAUUAUGUUAUUUUUGUUAAAAAAUCAAUGAUAGGUUGAAUUGGAUAGGUUUGGUGCCAAUGUUAAGGAUAUGUUGUACGUAAGUCGGAGGUAGAAGAAUAAGCUUAGAAGUGUAGAUAGGAGGAUAACAAAGGCGAAUAUUGUAAGAUCUUGCUUAAUUAUUUCUUGGGCAAUAAGUCACUUUGGAAUGAACCCGGUUAAUGGUGGUAGUCCGCUGAGGGAUAAUAGGGAUAGAAGCGAUAGGGCUGAGAGGGUGGGGGAUUUAGAUCAUGCUGUUGAUAGUUCAUAAACAUUUUUUGUGCCCAAAAAGAUAAAUAUUAUGAAAAGGGUUGAUGUUAUAAGAAUAUAAAUGAUGAAAUUUAUUAAGGUGAGUUGGGGGGAGAUUUUCAGAAUUGCUAGUAUCCACCCCAAAUGGGCAAUAGAGGAGAAUGCUAGUACUUUUCGAAUUUGGGUCUGGUUAAUGCCUCCUCAACCCCCAAUCACUGUCGAAAGUAAGCCUAAGACUAGUAUGAGGUUUAAGUCAACAAAUUGGGAUAGUUGAAGUAGCAGGGUUAUUGGGGCAAUUUUCUGUCAUGUUGAGAGAAUGAGUCCUGUUUUUAAAGUUAGUCCUUGAAGAACCUCUGGGAGCCAAAAGUGAAAUGGGGCGAUUCCGAGUUUUAUAGAUAGGGCAAUUGAUAGCAAGAUUGAAGUCGAGUAGUUAAUAUUAAUAUUAAUGGCUCACUCGCCAGUGAGUCAGGCAUUAAUUGUGCUAGCGAAUAGGAUUAGAGCUGAUGCUGCUGCUUGUGUCAAGAAGUAUUUUGUCGCAGCUUCAAUGGCUCGUGGGUGGGGCGUUUUGGUUAUAAGGGGGAUAAUCGCUAAGGUGUUAAUUUCAAGACCAACUCAGGCUAGAAUUCAGUGGUAGCUUGACAGUGUGGUAAUUGUGCCUAGUGCUAGGCUAGAGAAAAUAAUGUAGAGGGUAAGGGGGUUAAUUAGUAAAGGAGGGGGUUUAACCAACAUGUUUGGGGUAUGGGCCCAAAAGCUUAUUUAGCUGACUUUACUAGGGAGUGGUAAAAUGGAAUUACGUAGAGUUUUGAUCUCUUAAUUAUAGGUUCGAUUCCUAUCUCUCUAAGGAAGUGAGGGGGUUUGAACCCCUAUUAUCCUCCCUAUCAAGGAGGUCCCUAUCUUUCGGGCACGCUUCCAUGUUGUUGGUGGAAAAAUUAGGAGGGAAAUGGGAAAUGAAAUGUGUCAGAUUGUCAGGGCUAAUGUGAGUGGUAAGAAGCUUUUUCAAACCAAGUGUAUAAGUUGGUCAUACCGGAAUCGUGGGUAUGAGGCUCGCACUCAUAAGAAAAUUAUUGAGAGCAGAGCAGCUUUUGUUAUUAGGGAGAUUGUGGUUGUUGGCAAAGAUAAGAUGGUGGAGGAUCCUAAGAAGAUAACGGCAGAAAUUGUGUUUAUUAUAAGGAUAUUAGCGUAUUCUGCUAGGAAAAAUAGUGCGAAUGGACCACCUGCGUACUCUACAUUAAAUCCUGAUACUAGUUCAGAUUCUCCUUCGGUCAAGUCAAAGGGUGCUCGAUUUGUUUCAGCAAGAGUUGAGACAUAUCACAUUAUAGCGAGAGGUCACAUAGGGAUGAUAAGUCAAAUUGAUUCUUGUGAGAUGUUGAAGUUUUGAAGUGUGAAGUUCCCAGACAAUAAGAUUGUGCAAAGCAAAAUUAGGGCUAGUGUGACCUCAUAGGAGAUGGUUUGUGCAACUGCUCGUAAGGCGCCGAUUAGGGCAUAUUUGGAGUUUGAGGCUCACCCUGACCCUAAAAUUGAGUAAACUAUCAGACUUGACAGGGCUAGAAUAAAUAAAACGCCUAGGUUUAUGUCACAGAGGGGAAUAGGUAUAGGUAGCGGGGUUCAAAUAAUUAUAGCUAAAGCUAGGGCUAGAGUGGGGGAGAGAAGAAAUAGGGUUUGAGAUGAGUUUGACGGUCGUACAGGUUCCUUAAUAAAUAAUUUUACACCGUCAGCAAUGGGUUGAAGAAGGCCGGUGGGUCCUACUACGUUUGGGCCCUUUCGAUGUUGUAUGUAGCCUAAUACCUUCCGUUCAAUAAGGGUAAGAAAUGCAACUGCUAGGAGGAUGGGGGCGAUGUAGCAUAGGGGUAGAAUAAAUUGGACAAGAUUCAAAGUUAAUGAGAGGAUUUGAACCUCUAUAGAAAGGGUUUAGGUCUUUUGCAAUGCCAGGUUUUGCUACAUUAACGCUCUUGUUUAGAGUUUUAUUACAGAUUAAAUAUUUAUUGAGUCUGGGUCAUAAAUUAUUAAAUACGGCUUGCAUAAUGCAUGGGCCAUGUUUUUUCGGUCCUUUCGUACUAGAAAAAGCUCUUUAUAGAUAGAAACUGACCUGGAUUACUCCGGUCUGAACUCAGAUCACGUAGGGUUUUAAUCGUUGAACAAACGAACCUUUAGUAGCGGCUGCACCACUGGGAUACCCUGAUCCAACAUCGAGGUCGUAAACCCGCCUGUCGAUAGGGGCUCUUGAGGCGGAUUGCGCUGUUAUCCCUAGGGUAACUUGGUUCGUUGAUCAAUUUAUUGGGUCAAUAGAUGUCGAUUUAUUGGUGCAUAGAGUUGUAGCUCACGGCUCAGGGGGGUAUUCCCCAUUCAAUGUGGAGGUUAUUUUUUACUCCGCGGUCACCCCAACCUAAAACUAAUAAUCAGGAGGCCAUAGUAAAUGUUUAUUACUCUGAAGUGUUGAUGUUUAAAGGCAAGUGUUAUUGAGUUUAAAGCUCCAUAGGGUCUUCUCGUCUUAUAUGUUUAUCUCCGCUUCUUCACGGGGAGAUUAGUUUCACUGAUUGGAAAAAGGAGACAGUGUAACCCUCGUGGUGCCAUUCAUACUAGUCCUCAUUUAAAGAACAAGUGAUUACGCUACCUUCGCACGGUUAGGAUACCGCGGCCGUUGAACAGAGUCACUGGGCAGGCUGGACCUCUUAUAUUAUAACAAGAGGCGAUGUUUUUGGUAAACAGGCGAGGUUAAUAUUUGCCGAGUUCCUUCUUUUUCUUUUAAUCUUACUUGAAAUGCUCUUGUGUUAGGUUAACAUUAUGAAAAUUAAGGUUUUCUUGUGGAGGUUAUUAAUUUUUUGCAGGGGUGUUAAUAGCCAGCGGUGUGUCCUUUCUGGCUUACACUCGCAUUUAAGUGAAGUUCUGCUUCUUGUUACUAGUUUCAACAUAAAAUAUUCUAUAGGGGUAUAGAAGUACUCAGUAGUGGUGGAGGGUUCUGGGUUAUAGAAGGAAUUGGGUACGGGAGUAAUGAAGCUUUGACGCUAUUUUAAAGGUGGCUGCUUUUAAGCCUACUUGAUUACUGUAAGUAGAUAUUACCCGUCUCUUGAGGUUGUAUCCUAUUUCAAAUAGGCUGUACCUUAUUUGAAUUGCUCUAAAGUAAUAUAAUUAUCUAUGGGUAUUAACGGGACUUUAGGUUGGACUUAAAUCCUUUUCCUGAGUAACCAGCUAUCACUAAGUUCGUUAGGUCUGUCACCCCUACUCGAAGGUCUUCCCACUCUUUUGCAACAGAGACGGGUUUGCUCAAUAAGCUGCCCUGGAGUAGCUCACUUAGUUUCGGGAAGUUAAACUGUAAGUCGUUUUGCUUAAUUUGACUAGUUGAACCAUGAUGCAAAAGGUACGAGGUUGAAUCUCUGCUUUCUUACGCUUGACAUUUAUUUCAUUUUUAUUUCAUCUUUCCCUUGCGGUACUAUUGAUAUAGCUCCUAAUAGUUUUUUAAUCGCCUUUACUAAGAUGUAAAAAUGUUUUGAUUUGUGAGGUAAAUUCUUAGGGUUUAUAAAAUUAUAGAGGGGCGUAGAUUUUUAGCUCAAAAUAAUCUGAGUUUAACAGAUAUUUGCUCGGUGUAAGCGAGAUGCUUUGUUUAAGCUAUAUUUUGUUUCCAAGCACACCUUCCGGUACGCUUACCAUGUUACGACUUGCCUCUUCUGAUUUGCUGAUUUUAGUUAAUUACUGAUAUUGGGCUUUGAAGAGGGUGACGGGCGGUGUGUACACACCCCAGUGCCGGGUUAAAAAGAACACUAUGAUUUCUUUUUACUGCUAAAUCCGCCUUCUGACUAGAAUUUCAUAUGUAGUCUUUCGUAUAUUCUAAAUUAGAGAGUGUAGCCCAUCUCUUCCCACUUCAUUUACUGCACCUUGACCUGACGUAUUGAUGUAGAGACAUUGAGCUCACUAAAUUUCGCUCACGGGGUAAGCUGACGACGGAGGUAUACAGGCUGAUAUAGCUAGAAAUGGUGAGGUUAAGCGGGGGUUAUCGAUUAUAGGACAGGCUCCUCUAGGUGGAUAUGGGGUACCGUCAAGUCCCUUGGGUUUUAAGCUUGGCUCGUAGUUCCCAGGCGAUACGAAUGUAAUUUAAAGUUUACGGCUGAGCAUAGUGGGGUAUCUAAUCCCAGUUUGUAUCUCAGCUGUCGUGGGUUCAAGUUGGUGUAAAUAUAGUAACUUUCGUUUUUGGAUUUCUUGUGAACAAGCGUGUCACAGCUUAGUCAAAAUACAACUAUAGUUAUUAGAUGACUUUAAUCACGCUUUACGCCGAAAAUAAUCAAAUUGAGCCUCGUGGUGUAACCGCGGCGGCUGGCACCAUAUUUGCCGGCUCUUUUUACUUUAACUGAGUCAAGCUGGCGCUUAUACUCAAUGUUAAUUACUGCUGAAUUUCCUUGUGGAUGUGGCGUGGCUAGGUGUUUUGGGCUAAUAGUUGUGCCUGAUACCAGCUCCUUGCUUCGAGUAGAAGAUAAAGGGCGUUCUCACAGGGGUGCGGAGACUUGCAUGUAUAAGUUAAGUAACAAUUGAUUACAAGGCUAGGACCAAACCUUUGUGCCUAAAGAACUUUUUAGGGUUCGUCUUAGCAUUUUCAGUGCUAUGCUUUACGUAAGCUAUUUAGACAGGAUAUAAUUUAAAUAGAAUGCUAGCUUUGGGGGCUAGUUGCGGGAGUUAAAUUCUCUCUAUCCUGAGCUUCAGGAAGGCUUUAUACUUCAUUCUUUGGUUUACAAGACCAAUGCUUUGCUUAAGCUACUGGAGCAGCUUUUACUUGGAUUUGCACCAAGAGGUACUGGAGCCUAAGACCAGGGGAAGACUUUUUUCCUUUAAAAGCGUAAGAGUACCCGUUUUAGGUAAGAUAAAUUUUAGGGAUAUACUUGUGGGAAACCCUUUCGAAAUGGUAAAUUUUAAAAAAUACACAUGUGUAUACAUAAGUAUACACUCGGGUAAAAAUUUUUAAAGUACCCGUUUUAGGUAAGAUAAAUUUUAGGGGUGUAUUUGUGGGAAACCCUUUCGAAAUGGUAAAUUUUAAAAUACACAUGUGUAUACAUAAGUAUACACUCGGGUAAGAAUUUUUAAAGUACCCGUUUUAGGUAAGAUAAGUUUUAGGGGUAUACUUGUGGGAAACCCUUUCGAAACGGUAAAUUUUAAAAAUACACAUGUGUAUACAUAAGUAUACACUCGGGUAAAAAUUUUUAAAGUACCCGUUUUAGGUAAGAUAAAUUUUAGGGGUGUAUUUGUGGGAAACCCUUUCGAAAUGGUAAAUUUUAAAAAAUACACAUGUGUAUACAUAGGUAUACGCUCGGGUAAGAAUUUUUAAAGUACCCGUUUUAGGUAAGAUAAAUUUUAGGGGUGUAUUUGUGGGAAACCCUUUCGAAAUGGAAAAUUUUAAAAAAUACACAUGUGUAUACAUAGGUAUACGCUCGGGUAAGAAUUUUUAAAGUACCCGUUUUAGGUAAGAUAAAUUUUAGGGGUGUAUUUGUGGGAAACCCUUUCGAAAUGGAAAAUUUUAAAAAAUACACAUGUGUAUACAUAGGUAUACGCUCGGGUAAAAAUUUUUAAAGUACCCGUUUUAGGUAAGAUAAAUUUUAGGGGUGUAUUUGUGGGAAACCCUUUCGAAAUGGAAAAUUUUAAAAAAUACACAUGUGUAUACAUAGGUAUACGCUCGGGUAAAAAUUUUUAAAGUACCCGUUUUAGGUAAGAUAAAUUUUAGGGGUGUAUUUGUGGGAAACCCUUUCGAAAUAGUAAAUUUUAAAAAAUACACAUGUGUAUACAUAGGUAUACGCUCGGGUAAAAAUUUUUAAAGUACCCGUUUUAGGUAAGAUAAAUUUUAGGGGUGUAUUUGUGGGAAACCCUUUCGAAAUGGAAAAUUUUAAAAAAUACACAUGUGUAUACAUAGGUAUACGCUCGGGUAAAAAUUUUUAAAGUACCCGUUUUAGGUAAGAUAAAUUUUAGGGAUGUAUUUGUGGGAAACCCUUUCGAAAUGGUAAAUUUUAAAAAAUACACAUGUGUAUGCAUAAGUAUACACUCGGGUAAAAAUUUUAAAGUACCCGUUUUAGGUAAGAUAAAUUUUAGGGAUGUAUUUGUGGGAAACCCUUUCGAAAUGGAAAAUUUUAAAAAAUACACAUGUGUAUACAUAGGUAUACGCUCGGGUAAAGAUUUUUAAAGUACCCGUUUUAGGUAAGAUAAAUUUUAGGGGUGUAUUUGUGGGAAACCCUUUCGAAAUGGUAAAUUUUAAAAAAUACACAUGUGCAUGCAUAAGUAUACACUCGGGUAAAAAUUUUUAAAGUACCCGUUUAGGUAAGAUAAAUUUUAGGGGUGUAUUUGUGGGAAACCCUUUCGAAAUGGUAAAUUUUAAAAAAUACACAUGUGUAUACAUAGGUAUACACUCGGGUAAAAAUUUUUAAAGUACCCGUUUUAGGUAAGAUAAAUUUUAGGGGUGUAUUUGUGGGAAACCCUUUCGAAAUGGUGGGUUAAAAAUAUGCGUGCGUACGCCGGGAAUGGGUUGUAUAGAACUAGUUAGUAAUAGAAACAAUUAAUCUAUAAAAGCUACGAUAGGCCUUCAUAGAAAAACCGUAAAGUACUCUUGGUCCGGGGGGUUACAAGAGAAAACUAGCGGUAAAAUCUAUGGGGGGGGGGGGGGGGGGGUUGCCUAAAAUGGGGUUAUAUUGAACUAGUUAGUAAUAGAAACAAUUAAUCUAUAAAAGCUACGAUAGGCCUUCAUAGAAAAACCGUAAAGUACUCUUGGUCCGGGGGGGUUACAAGAGAAAACUAGCGGUAAAAUCUAUGGGGGGGGGGGGGGGGGGGUUGCCUAAAAUUUUAUAGGAAAGUAGGCGGCGUUAAAGAGAAAUCCUAUCCGCUGGGAGAUGCCAAAUAUUGUGUUAAAAAAAUUCAAACAUUGGACUCCCGGGGGGGAAAAUAAAAUAGUAGUGAAUUUUUAGAUAGGCGUAAAUAUUGCUAUGUCUAACAAGCAUUCAUUUAUAGGUUAUCAUAUUCUUAUGCCUAAUGAACCACGCUUGCAUGAAGUAGGACCACCUUAGUUAAUGUGCCAUUACCCCACUGAGAGAUGCCAGGUGAAAGGUUUUUAAAAAAAAAACCACUGAUGCUAUGUAGUGCAGGGAGGCCUUGUUAAGGAGCAAAAGGGACCAGACCGCAUAGGGGAGAUGCUCUUUAGAAACCAGUUAAACCCGAUUAACCUAUAUAAGUCCAUAGAUUCAGUUCCGUCAGAUGCUUUUUAAAAGGUGAGGAAGGCCACUCUUGUUGAAGGUCCAUUGGAGAAUACCAACUCCCAAGCCCUUGACGUCAUGUAGGCCACAUUAAGGUACGAAUGGGGAAUAUCAAAGUGUUGAUGGUAAAGUUCCAGGAUAUUUCUGGGCAUUAUUCAUGUGGUUAAUCUUUUUAUGGGUAUUAUUAUUGUUAUGAUAUAUGUAGAAGGCCAUGGUAGUUGAUUAUGAAAGGUUAAUUAUAAGGAUAUGCUUGGUUGCUGGGAUAGAAAAGGCACAGUUCAACAAUGGGAUACAUGAAAUAAUUGGACUAAAGUUGACUUGCCUUUAUGUUUAUGUAUAGUUUGUUAAUUAAGGAUAUUAUUUUGAUAAUAAUAUUCAAGUUCAUGCUUGACGGGUAGUACAAUAUGUAAAUAGUGUGUCUAUAUACAUUAAUUAACUUAUUAAGAAUAAGUGGGUAAUUAUUUGUGUGGAUAUUUAUGCAUAGUGUUAAUGAUGAAGGCUCUUACUUCAUUUUAGUCUAAGACACAUGAAUUAUCAAUCCGCCUUCGUGAAACGUAUUUCUAGAUGCAUUAAUUUAGUAUUGAGUUUCAUAUUAUGUGAAUCUUAACAUGUUUAAUAAGGAUAGCGUUUGGUAAAGGUAUGCAUGGGGUAAAUAAAUGAAUGCUCUAUUAUGCAUAGUAUGUAUAUAAUCAUACAUGAAUUAGGGCAAAGAUAUGCAUGGGGUAAAUAGAUGAAUGCUCUAUUAUACAUAGUAUGUAUAUAAUCAUACAUGAAUUAGGGCAAAGAUAUGCAUGGGGUAAAUAGAUGAAUGCUCUAUUAUGCAUAGUAUGUAUAUAAUCAUACAUGAAUUAGGGCAAAGAUAUGCAUGGGGUAAAUAGAUGAAUGCUCUAUUAUGCAUAGUAUGUAUAUAAUCAUACAUGAAUUAGGGCAAAGAUAUGCAUGGGGUAAAUAGAUGAAUGCUCUAUUAUGCAUAGUAUGUAUAUAAUCAUACAUGAAUUAGGGCAAAGAUAUGCAUGGGGUAAAUAGAUGAAUGCUCUAUUAUGCAUAGUAUGUAUAUAAUCAUACAUGAAUUAGGGCAAAGAUAUGCAUGGGGUAAAUAGAUGAAUGCUCUAUUAUGCAUAGUAUGUAUAUAAUCAUACAUGAAUUAGGGCAAAACUUUCAUUUAAUUCUCUAAAAAGUGUUUUGUUCGAUAAUAAGGACAAAAAUUUAUAAGUUUUACUGUUGAUUUUGCAUGAAUUAGGGCAAAGAUAUGCAUGGGGUAAAUAGAUGAAUGCUCUAUUAUGCAUAGUAUGUAUAUAAUCAUACAUGAAUUAGGGCAAAACUUUCAUUUAAUUCUCUAAAAAGUGUUUUGUUCGAUAAUAAGGACAAAAAUUUAUAAGUUUUACUGUUGAUUUUGCAUGAAUUAGGGCAAAGAUAUGCAUGGGGUAAAUAGAUGAAUGCUCUAUUAUGCAUAGUAUGUAUAUAAUCAUACAUGAAUUAGGGCAAAACUUUCAUUGUUCUAAUCCAUGGACGUUUUAAAGUGGGGUUCGUGGGGGGGUACAAGGUGUCCGCCAACUGCCCUAAAAGUUUAAUCGGGCUAACUUGUUUUCUAGAGUGCCUGUGGCGGGGAUGAGAAGGAUAAAGAUGCAAAAAUAGAUGACUGAGGCUAGUUGGCCAAUCAUGAUGAAGGGGUCUUCUACUGGUUGGCCGCCAAUCCAUGUCAGGAUCAUCGUGUUUGCCACUAGGGUUCAGAAUAGUAGUUUAGUUAGGGGUCGGAAAGUAGAAGUUCGUUGAUUGGAUGUGUGAAGGAUGGGUAAUAAGAACAGGAUUAUGAUAGAGAAUAGGAGGGCUAGGACUCCGCCGAGUUUAUUGGGGAUAGAUCGAAGGAUAGCAUAUGCAAACAAGAAGUAUCAUUCGGGUUUAAUGUGAGGGGGAGUUACUAGGGGGUUAGCGGGAGUGAAAUUAUCUGGGUCACCGAGGAUAUUUGGGGCAAAUGUGGAUAGCGCGGCUAGCAGGGCUAGAAGUACGGCAAAUCCAAAUGCGUCCUUGUAGGAGUAGUAGGCGUGGAAUGGGAUUUUGUCUGAGUUGGAGUUUAGUCCAGUUGGGUUAGACGAGCCUGUUUGGUGUAGGAACAGGAGGUGGAUUAUUGAGGCUCCUGCAAUAAUAAAGGGUAGAAUGAAGUGGAAUGUAAAGAAUCGGGUUAAAGUGGCGUUAUCCACCGAGAAUCCGCCCCAGAUUCAUUGUACUAGCUCGGUUCCGAUGUAGGGGGCGGCUGAAAGAAGGUUAGUGAUUACUGUGGCGCCUCAAAAGGACAUUUGCCCUCAUGGUAAGACGUAUCCGACAAAGGCUGUUGCUAUAACUAAGAACAGUAAAAUUACCCCAACAUUUCAUGUUUCUUUAAAUAGGAAAGAUCCGUAGUACAUGCCCCGUCCAAUGUGAAGGUAAAUACAAAUGAAGAAGAAUGAGGCUCCGUUUGCAUGUAGAUUUCGUAAAAGUCAGCCGUUGUUUACAUCUCGACAGAUGUGGGCUACAGAUGAGAAGGCUAUUGAGGUGUCUGCUGUAUAAUGUAUUGCUAGGAAUAGUCCAGUAGCGAUUUGUAGAAUAAGGCAGAUUCCGAGGAGGGAGCCAAAAUUUCAUCAUGAGGACAGGUUGGAUGGUGCGGGGAGGUCAAUGAAGGAGGAAUUAACAAUUUUUAGUAUGGGGUGGGUUUUGCGUAAAAUAGGGGCCAUUAGUUCUUAUAGUUGAACACAACAAUAGCUUUUCAGGCUAUAAGUCUAGGUUAAAAUCCUUGUAGGAAUUAUGAUAUUUUUGUUUGAGGUUGGGUUGGUGGGGGGAUUUCUUGCUGUAGCUUCAAAUCCUUCUCCGUAUUAUGCGGCUUUGGGGUUAGUGGUUUCUUCCGGGGUGGGGUGCUUGAUUUUAAUAUUCGGGGGGGCUUCGUUUUUAUCUUUGGUAUUAUUUUUAGUUUACUUGGGGGGAAUAAUAGUGGUAUUUGCUUAUUCGGCAGCUUUAGUUGCUGAGC